rnacentral:rRNA from 1 species
UACAGAGGUCUCAAGCGUUGUUCGGAUUCAUUGGGCGUAAAGGGUGCGUAGGCGGCGGAGAAAGUCAGGUGUGAAAUCCCGGGGCUCAACCCCGGAACUGCACUUGAUACUGCUUUGCUAGAGUACUGGAGAGGAGAUUGGAAUUUACGGUGUAGCAGUGAAAUGCGUAGAUAUCGUAAGGAAGACCAGUGGCGAAGGCGAAUCUCUGGACAGUUACUGACGCUGAGGCACGAAGGCCAGGGGAGCAAACGGG